rnacentral:rRNA from 1 species
CAAUAGCGUAUAUUAAUGUUGUUGCAGUUAACAAGCUCGUAGUUGGAUUUCUGGUGGGAGCGGCCGGUCCGCCGUAAGGUGUGUACUUGGUUGUCUCCUGUCAUCCUUGUGGGAACUGCUCUGGCAUUAAGUUGUCGGGGUUAGGGAACACAUCGUUUACUGUGAAAAAAUUAGAGUGUUUAAAGCAGGCUUAUGCCGUUGAAUACAUUAGCAUGGAAUAAUAAGAUAGGACUUUGGCGUCUAUUUUGUUGGUUUGCACACCAAGGUAAUGAUUAAUAGGGAUAGUUGGGGGUAUUCGUAUUUAAUUGUCAGAGGUGAAAUUCUUGGAUUUAUGAAAGACGAACUUCUGCGAAAGCAUUUACCAAAGAUGUUUUCAUUAA